rnacentral:rRNA from 1 species
CGCACGGGUGAGUAACACGUAUCCAACCUGCCGUCUACUCUUGGCCAGCCUUCUGAAAGGAAGAUUAAUCCAGGAUGGCAUCAUGAGUUCACAUGUCCGCAUGAUUAAAGGUAUUUUCCGGUAGACGAUGGGGAUGCGUUCCAUUAGAUAGUAGGCGGGGUAACGGCCCACCUAGUCAACGAUGGAUAGGGGUUCUGAGAGGAAGGCCCCCACAUUGGAACUGAGACACGGUCCAA